rnacentral:rRNA from 1 species
GAUGAACGCUGGCGGCGUGCUUAACACAUGCAAGUCGAACGAUGAAGCUGGAGCUUGCUCUGGUGGAUUAGUGGCGAACGGGUGAGUAACACGUGAGCAACCUGCCCCUGACUCUGGGAUAACAGCCGGAAACGGCUGCUAAUACCGGAUAUGCACCAUGAACGCAUGUUCUGUGGUGGGAAAGAUUUUUCGGUUGGGGAUGGGCUCGCGGCCUAUCAGCUUGUUGGUGAGGUAAUGGCUCACCAAGGCGUCGACGGGUAGCCGGCCUGAGAGGGUGACCGGCCACACUGGGACUGAGACACGGCCCAGACUCCUACGGGAGGCAGCAGUGGGGAAUAUUGCACAAUGGGCGAAAGCCUGAUGCAGCAACGCCGCGUGAGGGAUGACGGCCUUCGGGUUGUAAACCUCUUUUAGCAGGGAAGAGGCGAGAGUGACGGUACCUGCAGAAAAAGCGCCGGCUAACUACGUG